rnacentral:rRNA from 1 species
UACGUAGGGACCGAGCGUUGUCCGGAAUCAUUGGGCGUAAAGAGCGUGUAGGCGGCCUUUUAAGUCCUGCGUGAAAUCCUGCGGCUCAACCGCAGACGGUCGUGGGAAACUGGAAGGCUAGAGUGCGGGAGAGGAGAGUGGAAUUCCCGGUGUAGCGGUGAAAUGCGCAGAUAUCGGGAAGAACACCCGUGGCGAAGGCGGCUCUCUGGAACGCAACUGACGCUGAGACGCGAAAGCGUGGGGAGCAAUCAGG